GCAGCUGGCGUUCAGGGGUCUAAGGCGCUGGAUUUAGGCUCCAGUCUCUUCGGGGGCGUGGGUUCGAAUCCCACCGCUGCC
rnacentral:tRNA from 1 species